UUGCUNNUGGGCGAAGCCUGAAGCAGCAACGCCGCGUGUGCGAUGAAGGCCUUCGGGUCGUAAAGCACUUUUCUGCGAGAUGAGAAAGGACAGUAUCGUAGGAAUAAGUCUCGGCUAACUACGGGCCAGCAGCCGCGGUAAAACGUAGGAGGCAAGCGUUAUCCGGAUUCACUGGGCGUAAAGCGCGUGCAGGCGGUGCGGUAAGUUGGGCGUGAAAUCUCCCGGCUCAACUGGGAGAGGUCGUCCAAUACUACCGUACUUGAGAGCAGAAGAGGAAGAUGGAAUUCCCGGUGUAGUGGUGAAAUGCGUAGAUAUCGGGAGGAACACCAGUGGCGAAGGCGAUCUUCUGGUCUGUUUCUGACGCUCAGACGCGACAGCUAGGGUAGUAAACGGGAUUAGAGACCCCGGUAAUCCUAGCCGUAAACGAUGUGAACUUGGCGUUGGUGGGUUAAACUCCAUCAGUGCCGCAGCAAACGCGAUAAGUUCACCGCCUGGGGACUACGGCCGCAAGGUUAAAACUCAAAAAAAUUGACGGA
rnacentral:rRNA from 1 species